rnacentral:rRNA from 1 species
UUCAUCUUUGUAGCAAUAUAGAAGAUGGAGAGUGGCGCACGGGUGAGUAACACAUAGAUGAUCUGCCGUUCAGACUGGGACAACUCAGGGAAACUUGAGCUAAUACCAGAUAAGACCCCAUGAAGGGAUUCACGUGAUCAAAGGGGGAGCAAUCUCCUGCUGGAAGAUGAGUCUAUGUCCUAUCAGCUAGUUGGUGGGGUAACGGCCUACCAAGGCGAAGACGGGUAGCCGGCCUGAGAGGGUGAACGGCCACACUGGAACUGAGACACGGUCCAGACUCCUACGGGAGGCAGCAGUGAGGAAUUUUCCGCAAUGGGCGCAAGCCUGACGGAGCGACGCCGCGUGAAGGGGAUGAAGGUUUUCGGAUCGUAAACCUCUUUUAUCAAGGAAAAAGGUUCAUAUGAUAAUACCAUAUGAGUUUGAUUGUACUUAAUGAAUAAGCCCCGGCUAACUACGUGCCAGCCGCUGC